rnacentral:rRNA from 1 species
GACGAACGCUGGCGGCGUGCUUAACACAUGCAAGUCGAACGGAAAGGCCCUUCGGGGUACUCGAGUGGCGAACGGGUGAGUAACACGUGGGUGAUCUGCCCUGCACUUUGGGAUAAGCCUGGGAAACUGGGUCUAAUACCGGAUAGGACCACGGCAUUCGUGUGCUGUGGUGGAAAGCUUUUGCGGUGUGGGAUGGGCCCGUGGCCUAUCAGCUUGUUGGUGGGGUAAUGGCCUACCAAGGCGACGAUCCGUAGCUGGUGUGAGAGCAUGACCCGCCACACUGGGACUGAGACGCGGCCCAGACUCCUACGGGAGGCAGCAGUGGGGAAUCUUGCGCAAUGGGCGAAAGCCUGACGCAGCGACGCCGCGUGCGGGAAGAAGGCCUUCGGGUUGUAAACCGCUUUCAGGAGGGACGAAGCCACUCGGGUGAAUAGCCCAGAGGGUGACGGUACCUCCAGAAGAAGCCCCGGCUAACUACGUGCCA